UACGUAGGGGGCAAGCGUUAAUCGGAAUUACUGGGCGUAAAGCGUGCGCAGGCGGUUGUGCAAGGCCGAUGUGAAAUCCCCGGGCUUAACCUGGGAACUGCAUUUGUGACUGCACGGCUAGAGUGUGUCAGAGGGGGGUAGAAUUCCACGUGUAGCAGUGAAAUGCGUAGAUAUGUGGAGGAAUACCGAUGGCGAAGGCAGCCCCCUGGGAUAACACUGACGCUCAUGCACGAAAGCGUGGGGAGCAAACAGG
rnacentral:rRNA from 1 species